rnacentral:rRNA from 1 species
GAUGAACGCUGGCGGCGUGCCUAAUACAUGCAAGUCGAGCGAGGUUCUUCGGAACCUAGCGGCGGACGGGUGAGUAACACGUGGGUAACCUGCCUGUAAGACCGGGAUAACUUCGGGAAACCGAAGCUAAUACCGGAUAAUUUCGAGCAUCGCAUGAUGCUUGAUGGCAAGACGGUUUCGGCUGUCACUUACAGAUGGAUCCGCGUCGCAUUAGCUAGUUGGUGAGGUAACGGCUCACCAAGGCGACGAUGCGUAGCCGACCUGAGAGGGUGAUCGGCCACACUGGGACUGAGACACGGCCCAGACUCCUACGGGAGGCAGCAGUAGGGAAUCUUCGGCAAUGGGCGAAAGCCUGACCGAGCAACGCCGCGUGAGCGAUGAAGGCCUUCGGGUCGUAAAGCUCUGUUGUUAAGGAAGAACAAGUACGAGAGUAACUGCUCGUACCUUGACGGUACUUAACGAGAAAGCCACGGCUAACUACGUGCCAGCCGCCGCAGUAAAAC